GGCCCACACGAGGAUCAAGUGCAUGGCAAUAUCUGGAAAUGGAUAAGGAUAAAAUCUGACUAGGAUUCCAGUCAGCAGUAGGCCACGUCAAUUAAUAAGUUUAACAUGAAAAUAACACGUGAUAAACAAGUGAAACUCAAAUUCAACCACAUGCGUUCAAACUCGUCUCUCUCUCCUCCGUUCUAGUUUCUCCCUCCGCCGUGUCGGAGGCUGUCUCCGGCGGCAGAGGCCCCUCUAAAAUCAAACCAAGAACAUCAUUCAACUUGUUUCAAGGCACUCUAUCCAAAUCCAAUGUCCAUUUUUCUCUAAUUCCACUUCUAAAACCUAAAUCGAUGCAAGCCGUCGAAGAACCCUAAUUAUGAAAAAGGUAAAUUAAAUGUUCACCACGGGGAAUCGGAGCCCAAGAGGUUGGGACUUUGAUUCCCCUCACCUUCGUUCACAUUUCGGUAACACGGUUGACGCAAAAAGAUGAAAGAGAAACUUACGCUAUCGGAGACGUCGAAGCUAACAGCGGAAUUCUGGAUUUUGGUAUUGUUGCUGGACUUUGGGGUUAUACAGGAUUGCAUAUGGUUGUAUAUGCAUAGGCUGCUGCAUAAUGAUGGUUGUUGCAGGUUGGUUGUAAGGUCAGGUUAGUCGAAUGUUGUGUUCUUAAUGUGAACUGGUUGCCUUGUUCAUUCAUGGUGCAGGCUACUAAACUACAUAUGCUGAUGUUGAAUUGUUGGCUCAAUUUGUGGAUGAUUGUGUACACAUGCUUGCUACAGAAUUUUGGAUCAUACUGCAUGAUUAUGAUUGAUUUGGUGGAGGUUUUUGCUACUGCAGGGCUAUGGUUUGGUUGAUAUUGCUUGGUUGAUCAAUGUUGGACUGUUUUAGGCUUUGAUUAUGGUUAGGUUAGGUUUAGGUCUUGUUUGUAUUGGUGACCUAUUUGGAAUUGUUUUAGUGAUGUGCUAGGCUAAGUCUUUUGGUCAUGGUUGUAUGGAAAAUAUUGUGUAUGGUAUAGGCUAUUUGGAUUUGUAAUGUGGUUUCUAUGUCCAUGCCUUAGAUGAUUGGAAAAUUAACAUGUAAUUAGAUUUUGGUUAUGUAUUGCAUUUGACAUGGCUUGUUUAUGUAUGAUACAUGUGCUAUGCUAUUUUUU